UACGGAGGGGGCUAGCGUUGUUCGGAAUUACUGGGCGUAAAGCGCACGUAGGCGGCUUUGCAAGUCAGAGGUGAAAGCCCGGGGCUCAACCCCGGAAUUGCCUUUGAGACUGCAUCGCUAGAAUUGUGGAGAGGUAAGUGGAAUUCCGAGUGUAGAGGUGAAAUUCGUAGAUAUUCGGAAGAACACCAGUGGCGAAGGCGACUCACUGGACACGUAUUGACGCUGAGGUGCGAAAGCGUGGGGAGCAAACAGG
rnacentral:rRNA from 1 species